rnacentral:lncRNA from 1 species
UGACACAACAUGUUAAGUGUGCAAAUGGACAACUAAGCACAUCUCAAAUGCGCGCAAGCAUGCGCGCAUGCACAUACCCGCACGUGAGUGCACAACAAGCCACACGCUGCAUGUAUGCUCCCUAGUAGAGCAGAUGCCUAGUCCAUGCCCAGCAGCCCAGAUGGCCAGGUCGUGCCCAAUAUGCAUGCAACAACUUAGCCUACACAUGCUUAAGCUCAGCAGGCAAUAUGCAUUGGCAGCCCAGCUAUGUGACCAAGAC